rnacentral:rRNA from 1 species
UACGUAGGGUGCAAGCGUUGUCCGGAAUUAUUGGGCGUAAAGAGCUCGUAGGCGGUCUGUCGCGUCUGCUGUGAAAACUCAGGGCUUAACCCUGAGCUUGCAGUGGGUACGGGCAGACUAGAGUGCGGUAGGGGAGACUGGAAUUCCUGGUGUAGCGGUGGAAUGCGCAGAUAUCAGGAGGAACACCGAUGGCGAAGGCAGGUCUCUGGGCCGCAACUGACGCUGAGGAGCGAAAGCAUGGGGAGCGAACAGG